CCUACGGGAGGCAGCAGUGGGGAAUAUUGGGCAAUGGAGGCGACUCUGACCCAGCAACGCCGCGUGAAUGAUGAAGGUCUUCGGAUUGUAAAAUUCUGUGUUGGAGGGUGAACACAAUGACAGUACCCCAAUAUCAAGCCACGCCUAACUAGGUGCCAGCAGCAGCGGUAAUCCGUCGGGGGCAAGCAUUAUCCGGAAUGACUGGGCGUAAAGGUUGCGUAGGUGUUUUAGUAAGUUGGCGGGGUAAGUCCGGGACUCAACCUCGGCGCAACCGCGAAAACUAUUAGACUAGAGUGCAGGAUGGGUAAGGGGAAGUCGUAGUGUAGCGGUGGAAUGCGGAGAGAAUAGGAGGAA
rnacentral:rRNA from 1 species